rnacentral:rRNA from 1 species
UACAGAGGGUGCGAGCGUUGUCCGGAAUCACUGGGCGUAAAGGGCGCGUAGGCGGCUUGAUAAGCGUGCGGUGAAAGCCCGGGGCUCAACCCCGGGUCGGCCGUGCGAACUGUCGAGCUGGAGCACUGUAGAGGCAGGUGGAAUUCCGGGUGUAGCGGUGGAAUGCGUAGAGAUCCGGAAGAACACCGGUGGCGAAGGCGGCCAUCUGGACCGCAACUGACGCUGAGGCGCGAAAGCGUGGGGAGCAAACAGG